rnacentral:rRNA from 1 species
CUAAUACAUGCAAGUCGAGCGCGGGAAGCAGACUGAAGCCUUCGGGCGGACGUCUGUGGAACGAGCGGCGGAUGGGUGAGUAACACGUGGGCAACCUGCCUGUAAGCUCGGGAUAACUAGCGGAAACGCUAGCUAAUACGAAUAACGCUGCGCACCGCAUGGCGCGCAGAUGAAAGAUGGCUUUUAGCUAUCACUUACAGAUGGGCCUGCGGCGCAUUAGCUAGUUGGUGGGGUAAUGGCCUACCAAAGCGACGAUGCGUAGCCGACCUGAGAGGGUGAUCGGCCACACUGGGACUGAGACACGGCCCAGACUCCUACGGGAGGCAGCAGUAGGGAAUCUUCCGCAAUGGACGCAAGUCUGACGGAGCAACGCCGCGUGAGUGAUGAAUGUCUUCGGAUUGUAAAACUCUGUUGUUAGGGAAGAACAAGUACCGUUCGAAUAGGUCGGUACCUUGACGGUACCUAACCAGAAAGCCCCGGCUAACUACGUGCCAGCAGCCGCGGUAAUACGUAGGGGGCAAGCGUUGUCCGGAAUUAUUGGGCGUAAAGGGCGCGCAGGCGGUCUUCUAAGUCUGAUGUGAAAGCCCACGGCUUAACCGUGGAAGGUCAUUGGAAACUGGGGGACUUGAGUGCAGAAGAGGAGAGUGGAAUUCCAUGUGUAGCGGUGAAAUGCGUAGAGAUAUGGAGGAACACCAGUGGCGAAGGCGA